CUACGUGCCAGCAGCCGCGGUAAUACGGAAGGUCCGGGCGUUAUCCGGAUUUAUUGGGUUUAAAGGGAGCGUAGGCUGGAGAUUAAGUGUGUUGUGAAAUGUAGACGCUCAACGUCCGACUUGCAGCGCAUACUGGUUUCCUUGAGUACGCACAACGUUGGCGGAAUUCGUCGUGUAGCGGUGAAAUGCUUGGAUAUGACGAAGAACUCCGAUUGCGAAGGCAGCUGACGGGAGCGCAACUGACGCUGAAGCUCGAAGGUGCGGGUAUCGAACAGGAUUAGAUACCCUGGUAGUCCGCACAGUAAACGAUGGAUGCCCGCUGUUGGUACCUGGUAUCAGCGGCUAAGCGAAAGCAUUAAGCAUCCCACCUGGGGAGUACGCCGGCAGCGGUGAAACUCAAAGGAAUUGACGGGGGCCCGCACAAGCGGAGGAACAUGUGGUUUAAUUCGAUGAUACGCGAGGAACCUUACCCGGGCUUGAACUGCAGCUGAACGAUUCAGAGA
rnacentral:rRNA from 1 species